rnacentral:rRNA from 1 species
CCUACGGGGGGCAGCAGUGGGGAAUAUUGCACAAUGGGCGCAAGCCUGAUGCAGCCAUGCCGCGUGUGUGAAGAAGGCCUUCGGGUUGUAAAGCACUUUCAGCGGGGAGGAAGGCGUUAAGGUUAAUAACCUUGGCGAUUGACGUUACCCGCAGAAGAAGCACCGGCUAACUCCGUGCCAGCAGCCGCGGUAAUACGGAGGGUGCAAGCGUUAAUCGGAAUUACUGGGCGUAAAGCGCACGCAGGCGGUCUGUCAAGUCGGAUGUGAAAUCCCCGGGCUCAACCUGGGAACUGCAUUCGAAACUGGGAGGCUAGAGUCUUGUAGAGGGGGGUAGAAUUCCAGGUGUAGCGGGGAAAUGCGUAGAGAUCUGGAGGAAUACCGGUGGCGAAGGCGGCCCCCUGGACAAAGACUGACGCUCAGGUGCGAAAGCGUGGGGAGCAAACAGGAUUAGAUACCCCGGUAGUC